AGGUACAAAAGUAAUCCCGGCAUGGAACACUGGACAGCGGUCAAGAAUAUCCUGAAGUACCUGAAGAGGACUGAGGAUAUGGUUCUCGUUUAUGGAGGUGACGAAGAGCUCGUCGUAAAGGGUUACGUCGACGCUAGCUUCGACACAGAUCUGGAUGACUCGAAGUCACAAACCGAAUACGUGUAUAUUUUGAAUGGAGGAGCAGUAAGCUGGUGCAGUUGCAAGCAAAGCGUCGUGGCGGGAUCUACAUGUGAAGCGGAGUACAUGGCAGCCUCGGAGGCAGCACAGGAAGCAGUCUGGAUGAAGGAGUUCAUUACCGACCUAGGGGUGAUUCCCAAUGCGUCGGGCCCGAUGACUCUCUUCUGUGACAACACUGGAGCUAUUGCCCUUGCGAAGGAGCCCAGAUUUCACAGGAAGACCAGGCAUAUCAAGCGUCGCUUCAAC
rnacentral:rRNA from 1 species